AUUUACAUAAACUUCAUAAGAACUUUUAUGCAUUUAUCGAUUGAUUUAAUGAAAUUUUUACUCAUUUUCAGAUUAAUUUGUGGGAAUUUUAUGUUCCUUUUUUUUUGUAUCGAGUGUUAAUUUUCAUAUACAGCAGUACAGGUUUAUUUUUGAACUUAUUUUAAGCGAUUUUUCACGCGGUAUUCGAGUACGAAGAGCUACGAAUACUUAGGCGAUAUCAGUCUAAUUUUGUGCUUGGAGUUGAGUUUCUAGAGCACUAUCAAUUCAGUUUGGAUAGAAAGGAUUAUCUUGUCAAUAUUAACUCUAUUUUGGGCGUGGAAUUAAGUAACCAUCCCACGCAUUUAGCGAUUAUAAUCGAGAAGCGAUCGAAACAUCAAUUCUUACACCACCAACAUAUGUUUUUAUUGCAGUCGAUCCUUACAUAUACACACAUUAUUUUAGGAUUAACCAAACACUCCUUUUCCUUUCCAACAAUAUCCGCUUUUACACGUUGUUUAUUUAGGAAACGCCUGCAAAUCUACAACGAGAACAAAAUAAUUAUUGGAAACGAUACAUUUAUAAACUUAGUGUUACGGUUUGAUACUAAUAUGGUAACUAGAAGCACGAACAGUGUGCCGAAAAUCGGAAAGUUCGACUACUCUGUUUGUAAUUAAAAGAAACAUAUGGUUUGCAUUUGGAAUUUCUGUAUUGGCACAACCUUGGGAAACUCUGGGAAAAUCGUGUGACGCCCCAAGACUCAGUCGGUUCUUUUCAUGUUUUCCUCCCUUUUUAGAAUCGAUUGAAGCGCAAAACUCGUUCCUUUCUGUUACGUGCGAAGCGCUAAACCGAGUUAUGUAAAAGAAAAAAAAACUCGACAACAGUGUAGCGGUAAUGACCUAAAACGGACAUAUAUUCGUAAAAGAGUUUGACCCACACGUUUGAAUUUUAAUUUUGCACUCUAUGCAGGUUUCGUACGUAAAUGUGGAUCUUACAAGCAGGUUGGAAAACUGUGCCAUUAGUCGUAAACUCGUCUCAUUAUCUUUAUAAAAAUGUCAGUUUAAAUAUUAAAUCGCGCUAAAUUAAUAUUUUGAGUUUUAGCUGGUUGUUUAAAGUUUAAAAAAAAGAAGCGUGAUUUUUUUUUUUUUUUAUUUUAGAAUAUUUUACGAUAGCAGUCGAAAAAAAAAAAAAUUAUACGUCUAAAGUGGUGUAACAAUUAUCAACUUUGGGUGUGGAAGUUCUUACGCAACGUCAAUUCAGUUUGUAUGUGGAAAGGAUAUCCUGAGCAGUAUAAAUUCGCUUUUUAUACGGAAAGAGAUAAUCCUGUGCAAUAUUAUACUUGCUCAAAUACUUUAUAAAAAGUCAAAUUUUAGCAACAUUAAUCGAGUAAAAUGUUUCGCGUCAAGAGAAAAUCGUAAUCCGCACCGAAAGUAAUUUUCCUUCGAAUGAUGGAUUGAUGACAAAUUAUCCAAGAUUUAAGUAAGGAUCAAAUCAGUUUUAUCUGUAAAAAUCAUCUACAUUAAUAUAUAUAAAACUUUUUUUAUUUUUAAAUACGUUUUUAAGAUUAGAUAAACUUUCGGAGAAAAUUAUAAUUUAUGGAGAAAGGAUAGCAGCUGAAGUUUAUAUGUUUGGUUUUUUUUUCUUUUCUUUUUCCCCCCCCGAAGAGAUACCGUGAAUUAUUAACAUAAAUAAUAACGCAUUGUGCUUUAUAAUGGGAAAAAUUUAUUCGAAUAAUAACCAUUUAAAACAAUCAAGUUAAAUUUGCUCAUUUAUUAAGAUGAUGAUGAUAGCAACUCUGCUAUUGUUGGAAGGGAGAAAAAUGUCGCGUGAUGUUAAAAUUAGUUCGAAACUUCGUAUAUUUUAUAUUAGAAUAAAAUGCUAUUUUAGUGUGCAUUAGAAAGUUUAAAAUCUGAUAAAAACGAGUUUGGAGUUAAAGGUUUGAAGAUAAAAACAUCUGCGCUGUAAAGAUGAUCGAGUGUUCGAUAGAUUGACAAUAAUCUAUGGAAUGAUCCAUCAUGUUAUAUCUCUUCGAAUGUAAGCUUUAAUACCGAAUUUUUUCAAGAAUUAAAGUGCAUAAAUGCGCUCCAGAAUAUCGUUAUGUAGAUAUGUUUAUUUGUAUUUAGAUAUAAGAAACUAUCGCGUUACUGGUGACGUUUUUAUGAA
rnacentral:lncRNA from 1 species